rnacentral:rRNA from 1 species
AACGAACGCUGGCGGCAUGCCUAACACAUGCAAGUCGAACGAGACCUUCGGGUCUAGUGGCGCACGGGUGCGUAACGCGUGGGAACCUGCCCUUAGGUUCGGAAUAACUCCCCGAAAGGGGUGCUAAUACCGGAUAAUGUCUUCGGACCAAAGAUUUAUCGCCUUUGGAUGGGCCCGCGUUGGAUUAGCUAGUUGGUAGGGUAAAAGCCUACCAGGGCGACGAUCCAUAGCUGGUCUGAGAGGAUGAUCAGCCACACUGGGACUGAGACACGGCCCAGACUCCUACGGGAGGCAGCAGUGGGGAAUAUUGGACAAUGGGCGAAAGCCUGAUCCAGCAAUGCCGCGUGAGUGAUGAAGGCCUUAGGGUUGUAAAGCUCUUUUACCCGGGAUGAUAAUGACAGUACCGGGAGAAUAAGCGCCGGCUAACUCCGUG